rnacentral:rRNA from 1 species
UACGGAGGGUGCAAGCGUUGCUCGGAAUCACUGGGCGUAAAGCGCGCGCAGGCGGUCUUCCAAGUCAGUGGUGAAAGCCCGGAGCUCAACUCCGGAACUGCCAUUGAAACUGUAAGACUUGAGGAUGAGAGAGGUGAGUGGAAUUCCCAGUGUAGAGGUGAAAUUCGUAGAUAUUGGGAAGAACACCGGUGGCGAAGGCGGCUCACUGGCUCAUAUCUGACGCUCAGGCGCGACAGCGUGGGGAUCAAACAGG